CGCGGCCUAUCAGCUUGUUGGUGGGGUGAUGGCCUACCAAGGCGACGACGGGUAACCGGCCUGAGAGGGCGACCGGUUACACUGGGACUGAGACACGGCCCAGACUCCUACGGGAGGCAGCAGUGGGGAAUAUUGCGCAAUGGGCGGAAGCCUGACGCAGCGACGCCGCGUGGGGGAUGACGGCCUUCGGGUUGUAAACCUCUUUCAGCAUCGACGAAGCCUUUCGGGGUGACGGUAGGUGCAGAAGAAGCGCCGGCUAACUACGUGCCAGCAGCCGCGGUAAUACGUAGGGCGCAAGCGUUGUCCGGAAUUAUUGGGCGUAAAGAGCUCGUAGGCGGUUUGUCGCGUCUGUCGUGAAAGCCCACGGCUUAACUGUGGGUCUGCGGUGGAUACGGGCAGGCUAGAGGCAGGUAGGGGAGAAUGGAAUUCCCGGUGUAGCGAUGAAAUGCGCAGAUAUCGGGAGGAACACCGGUGGCGAAGGCGGUUCUCUGGGCCUGUACUGACGCUGAGGAGCGAAAGCGUGGGGAGCGAACAGGAUUAGAUACCCUGGUAGUCCACGCCGUAAACGUUGGGCGCUAGGUGUGGGGUUCUUCCACGGAUUCCGCGCCGUAGCUAACGCAUUAAGCGCCCCGCCUGGGGAGUACGG
rnacentral:rRNA from 1 species